rnacentral:lncRNA from 1 species
UCCGGUUUGAAACCAACUCCCCUCAUCCUGUUACGACUUGCCAUUACAAAAAGUCCCUCCCCAGCAUUCCUGUAGGCCCCUUCAGAUACUGGAAUGCUGCUAUAAGAUCCCCCCAGCACCUUCUCUUCUGCAGGCUGAAAACCCCCAAUUCUGUCAGCCUGUUCCCAUAAGAGAGCUGCUCCAGCUCUCUGGUCGUCUUUGUGGCCCUCCUCUGGACCUGCUCCAACAACUCAAUGUGCAGCUUAAAAACCUGAAAAACAUCAAGGAGGAAAGUAUCAAUUUCGGAUUGGUUCUUUCAGGAGAUCUCUGUUAUACGUGCAACUAG